rnacentral:rRNA from 1 species
UAAUACGGAGGGUGCAAGCGUUAAUCGGAAUUACUGGGCGUAAAGGGUGCGUAGGUGGUUAUAUAAGUUAUCUGUGAAAUCCCCGGGCUCAACCUGGGCAGGUCAGAUGAGACUGUAUGACUCGAGUAUAGGAGAGGGUAGUGGAAUUUCCGGUGUAGCGGUGAAAUGCGUAGAGAUCGGAAGGAACACCAGUGGCGAAGGCGGCUACCUGGCCUGAUACUGACACUGAGGCACGAAAGCGUGGGGAGCAAACAGG